AGCAGAAUUGAUACUAUUAUUUAUCAGUGUAAAACAAUGCGUAUUAUGUAUUUCAUUUUCUUAAUACAUAAAAAAGGCAUGAGAGCUUAAAAAGGGGAAACUAAAAAAAGGUAUCCCAGUGCACCGUGCACAAGCUCCCACUAUGCACGGAUUUUGGGAAAAGUCGAACCACAAGGAUCUAUUGAAAAUGCGUAUUAUGUAUUUCAUUUUCUUAAUACAUAAAAAAGGCAUGAGAGCUUAAAAAGGGGCAAUUAAAAAAAGGUAUCCCGGUGCACCGUGCACAAGCUCCCACUAUGCACGGGGUUCAGGGAAAGGCCGAACCACAAGGAUCUAUUGAAAAUGCGUAUUAUGUAUUUCAUUUUCUUAAUACAUAAAAAAGGCAUGAGAGCUUAAAAAGGGGCAAUUAAAAAAAGGUAUCCCGGUGCACCGUGCACAAGCUCCCACUAUGCACGGGGUUCAGGGAAAGGCCGAACCACAAGGAUCUAUUGAAAAUGCGUAUUAUGUAUUUCAUUUUCUUAAUACAUAAAAAAGGCAUGAGAGCUUAAAAAGGGGCAAUUAAAAAAAGGUAUCCCGGUGCACCGUGCACAAGCUCCCACUAUGCACGGGGUUCAGGGUAAGGCCGGACCACAAGGAUCUAUUGAAAAUGCAAUCAAUACAUAAAAAAUCAAUCUCCAACUUCUGACCAAGAGCUGGAGAUCAACUGGAGCUGGUAUAACUGAGAGGUUGAUGCUUCAGGACAGUAAACAGAAAACAAAUUUAUCA
rnacentral:lncRNA from 1 species